GCAUAUCAAUAAGCGGAGGAAAAGAAACCAACAGGGAUUGCCUCAGUAACGGCGAGUGAAGCGGCAACAGCUCAAAUUUGAAAUCUGGCCCCAGGCCCGAGUUGUAAUUUGCAGAGGAUGCUUUUGGCGCGGUGCCUUCCGAGUUCCCUGGAACGGGACGCCAUAGAGGGUGAGAGCCCCGUACGGUUGGACACCAAGCCUUUGUAAAGCUCCUUCGACGAGUCGAGUAGUUUGGGAAUGCUGCUCUAAAUGGGAGGUAUAUUUCUUCUAAAGCUAAAUAUAGGCCAGAGACCGAUAGCGCACAAGUAGAGUGAUCGAAAGAUGAAAAGCACUUUGAAAAGAGGGUUAAACAGCACGUGAAAUUGUUAAAAGGGAAGCGCUUGUGACCAGACUUGCGUCCGGUGAAUCACCCAGCUCUCGCGGCUGGGGCACUUUGCCGGCACAGGCCAGCAUCAGCUCGCUGUCGGGGACAAAAGCUUCGGGAACGUAGCUCUCUUCGGGGAGUGUUAUAGCCCGUUGCAUAAUACCCUUCGGUGGGCUGAGGUACGCGCUCCGCAAGGAUGCUGGCGUAAUGGUCAUCAGCGACCCGUCUUGAAACACGGACCAAGGAGUCAACCUUAUGUGCGAGUGUUUGGGUGUUAAACCCCUACGCGUAAUGAAAGUGAACGCAGGUGAGAGCUUCGGCGCAUCAUCGACCGAUCCUGAUGUUCUCGGAUGGAUUUGAGUAAGAGCAUAUAGGGUUGGACCCGAAAGAAGGUGAACUAUGCGUGUAUAGGGUGAAGCCAGAGGAAACUCUGGUGGAGGCUCGCAGCGGUUCUGACGUGCAAAUCGAUCGUCAAAUAUGCGCAUGGGGGCGAAAGACUAAUCGAACCUUCUAGUAGCUGGUUUCCGCCGAAGU
rnacentral:rRNA from 1 species